AGAGUCGUUUGUCAAGCUCGG
rnacentral:miRNA from 1 species